rnacentral:rRNA from 1 species
GGCGACCGGCGCACGGGUGAGUAACGCGUAUGCAACUUGCCUAUCAGAGGGGGAUAACCCGGCGAAAGUCGGACUAAUACCGCAUGAAGCAGGGAUCCCGCAUGGGAAUAUUUGCUAAAGAUUCAUCGCUGAUAGAUAGGCAUGCGUUCCAUUAGGCAGUUGGCGGGGUAACGGCCCACCAAACCGACGAUGGAUAGGGGUUCUGAGAGGAAGGUCCCCCACAUUGGUACUGAG